rnacentral:rRNA from 1 species
AGAGUUUGAUCCUGGCUCAGGAUGAACGCUAGCGGGAGGCCUAACACAUGCAAGCCGAGCGGUGUUGUUCUUCGGAAAUGAGAGAGCGGCGUACGGGUGCGGAACACGUGUGCAACCUGCCUUAUCUGGGGGAUAGCCUUUCGAAAGGAAGAUUAAUACUCCAUAAUAUAUUGAACGGCAUCGUUUAAUAUUGAAAGCUCCGGCGGAUAGAGAUGGGCACGCGCAAGAUUAGCUAGUUGGUGAGGUAACGGCUCACCAAGGCAAUGAUCUUUAGGGGGCCUGAGGGGGUGAUCCCCCACACUGGUACUGAGACACGGACCAGACUCCUACGGGAGGCAGCAGUGAGGAAUAUUGGUCAAUGGGUGCAAGCCUGAACCAGCCAUCCCGCGUGAAGGACGACUGCCCUAUGGGUUGUAAACUUCUUUUGUAUAGGGAUAAACCUUUCCACGUGUGGAAAGCUGAAGGUACUAUACGAAUAAGCACCGGCUAACUCCGUG